GCAACCCAGUCAGAUGGUUGGUGCACCUGGCUGUUAACCAGAAGGUUGGUGGUUCAAGCCCACCCAGGGGCU